GCCAAAACCUAGUCCAACAAACCUUUCAAACACGCUCUUACUUAAAACAAAACAUUUGACAAAACUAGUAGAUGCGAUCAAAAUUUAAAAUGUGACACGAUAGAUAUAUGUACCGCAAGGGAGAGGUGAAAAAUCAUAACACUUAAGCACAACAAAGCAAAGAUUAAAUCUUGUACCUUUUGCAUCAUGGUUUAGCAAGAAAUGAGGGACAAGCAGAACCAAAGUCCAAAUACCCGAAACCAAGUGAGCUACUUUAAAGCAGCCAAGAGAGCGAACCCUUCUCUGUAGCAAAAGAGUGGGAAGACUUAAAAGUAGAGGUGAAACGCCAACCGAACUUGGCAAUAGCUGGUUGUUCAAAUAGUGGAUUUAAGUCCUACUUUAAUUAUAAUAUCGAGAAAAAUAAAAUGAACUACUGAAAUAAUUAAAGGAAUUUAUUAGAGGGACAGCUCUAAUAACACGGGAGACAGCCCCAAUCUGAAAGUAAACAUAAUUAGCUCAACUGUAGGCCUCAAAGCAGCAAUCACCAAAACAGCGUCCCAGCGUACAAAAUAAAAGAUUUCUCUCCUAAUUAUUAUCUUCAGAUAUCCUAAGAACAACUCUAUAUAAAUAGAAGUAAUUAUGCUAAAACUAAUAAUAAGAAUUUUUUUUCUAAAAACACACUCAUCGCUCAGGACGAAUGACAAUUAACAGACCAAAAGAGGAAAUAAUUACUCACAUUACAUAUAUUAUUAAUCCUGUGAAACCAACCAUGGGGGUGUAGAAAUUAUAAUUAUAACUUGUAAAAGGAACUCGGCAAACUUAUAACUCCAACUGUUUACCAAAAACAUAGCCUUUAGCAAAAAACUAGUAUUAAAGGUACUGCCUGCCCAGUGAAACUAUUUUAACGGCCGCGGUAUCCUAACCGUGCAAAGGUAGCGAAAUCAUUUGUUUACUAAUUAUAGACCAGUAUGAAUGGCCACAUGAGAGUUAAGCUGUCUCUUACAACAAAUUUAUAAAACUGAUCUUUCGGUACAAAAGCCGAAAUAUAAGUAUAAGACGAGAAGACCCUGUGAAGCUUAAAAAAUUCCUCUAAACAAAUUAGAGGAUACUUUUAGUUGGGGCGACUUUGGAAUACAGACAACCUUCCAAAAUUUUAUUAAGGUUAACAGACCUUUAUAUGACCCAGUAAAUCUGAUUAAUGAACCAAGUUACUCCAGGGAUAACAGCGCAAUCCUCUUCCAGAGCCCGUAUCAAAAAGAGGGUUUACGACCUCGAUGUUGGAUCAGGACACCCCAAUGGCGCAGCCGCUAUUAAAGGUUCGUUUGUUCAACGAUUAACAGUCCUACGUGAUCUGAGUUCAGACCGGAGAAAUCCAGGUCGGUUUCUAUCUAUAAACUAAAAUCCCUAGUACGAAAGGACCGGGAUAUUAAAGCCUAUACUCUAAGCACGCUUUAAUAUAAAAAGAAAAUAAUUAAUCUUUUUAUACUAGUAUAAUAUUACCCCUAGUCGGGGU
rnacentral:rRNA from 1 species